GGCAUAUGGCUAAUUUUUCUUGCUUCUUCUCAUAGUUGUGUUUUGUUUUGUCAAAUCACCUUCCACUGAUCUUAACAGGUAAUCAAAAGUAGACAUCGACAUUCGAAAAUAAUUGAAAAAUUUCAAUUCAUCUCUCCUAAGUUGGCACAUCUGUGUGUGAUAGGAUCCCCAACGAGGCCUAUCUCUCCUAUCGAUACUAUGACGACGACGAUACCAGUACAUAAGGAGAAACGUAUUAAAGUCCAUCUUCGGAGCGAGUGCGUCGCAAUACGGUAACUAAAGCGAAACGUGUGAACACUAGAAAAAGAAUGUGCCGUUUCGAUGAAAUUGCCGAUACGGUAAAAAGGAAGAACCUGGUGUGGGUCAACAGCUACUAGGAUUGACCCUGUACAGGCAGCGAUCUUGCGGGCAGCGUUCCGGACAGUGCAGCGAUCUACUCCGCGGUGGCGAUCAGAUGCAGUUUGUCGAGUUUGAUCGCUGCCCGCGUCAUUGUGUGUUAGCAUGAACAAAGAGUACAACAGGGCAACUUAUUGAAGAAGUAAAAUUAUUUAAUUUGUCGCAUCCUGAUUACAAGAAUAUAAAAAAGAAAGAUGAAGUCUGGGAACAAAUAGGCAGAUCGCUAGGAACAAGCUGUCAGGAGGUGAAGAACUGGAAACACCUAAGAGCUGAGAAGACGCGUACAGGGCAAGCAGCGAAAAGUCUGAAUAGAUAUAAAACUUGGCCAUGGGUCCAGCAGAUGUCAUUUUUCAGCCCUUUUCUACAGUUUUUCAAGUACAGAGUCAAAUAUAUCCAUCCCAGAUUCCGUCCUUAAUUCCGAAGUAGAUGAAUCUGAAUCUAUUCUGACUGAAGAAGCUAAAGGCACUCAACAGGCUUAAGUCAUAUCAUCACACCUUCAACCUGGACAGGAAAGUUUUUCCAGACCGGCAUAUCCUCCAUCCACCCGUAUUCAAAAAAGAAAGGUGGAGAAACAUCUCCCCAGCAUUCUUCUUUAGUAGGACAAAUAUUGAAUUAUUUGGAAAAUAGACCGAUCGAAAACUCAGCCUAUGAUGAUGUUGAUUUACUCUGUAUGGGAUAUGCCAAAACCAUUAAGAAAUUCUCACCACGAUGGCAAACAGUAGUGAAAUUUAAAAUUGCACAAAUAUUAAUGCAAGAUGCUACUAGAUCAAAUUGUCACUGCAGUACGCCUAGUCCAGGACCUUCAAGAUCAGCAGGUUGCUCACAGUAUAGCUCCGAAAGUAACCUACCUUCGCAGAACAUAGAUCUUGAAAAUACGACUACAUCUGCAAGCUGGCUUCAGGAUUUUGGAAAAGCAUUGUAAAGAUGUUACGUAACACAAUAUUGUAAAUUUCUUUUCAAAGUGAUAUUUCUUUUGAAAAUUCUGUAACACGUAAGAUUUCUGAGAAAUUGUUGAAUUAAGUGGGAAGCUUGUAAUUUUGUCACGUAUUCUUUAAUUAAUUAUUAAACUGAACAAAUGUCAUAGUU